GGACCCUAUAAUCUGCUGUGUUGUUAGAGUCACCCGCUACUUUAGAUCCUUAUAGCCACGUAUCAUUGCCAGUGUUCAGGAGCAAGAUCGGUCAGCGUUGGGCUAGUCCCGGAAGACUCCACCAGCUAGUGAAACAGACAGUGUGUGAACACAGAUUUCA
rnacentral:lncRNA from 1 species